CUCUGUGACUCCUACGGGAGGCAGCAGUGAGGAAUAUUGGUCAAUGGAGGGAACUCUGAACCAGCCAUCCCGCGUGUAGGAAGACGGCCUUAUGGGUUGUAAACUACUUUUAUACAGGAAGAAACAUACCCUCGUGAGGGUGCCUGACGGUACUGUAGGAAUAAGCACCGGCUAACUCCGUGCCAGCAGCCGCGGUAAUACGGAGGGUGCGAGCGUUAUCCGGAUUUAUUGGGUUUAAAGGGUCCGUAGGCGGAUUAAUAAGUCAGUGGUGAAAUCCCAUCGCUUAACGAUGGAACUGCCAUUGAUACUGUUAGUCUUGAAUGAGGGUGCAGUGGUUGGAAUGUGUAGUGUAGCGGUGAAAUGCAUAGAUAUUACACAGAACACCGAUUGCGAAGGCAGAUCACUAACCCUAAAUUGACGCUGAGGACGAAAGCGUGGGGAGCGAACAGGAUUAGAUACCCUGGUAG
rnacentral:rRNA from 1 species